CCCUACUGGACCUGCCAGGACCUUUCCAGCCCUACCGGACCUGCCAGGACCUUUCCAACCUCACCAGACCUGCCAGGACCUUCCCAACCUGACCGUUUGUUCCUUGACCUGCAAAGACUCUUCCAAGCCAAUCAUACCUGCAAGGACCUUUUCCAACACAAUCAUUCCCUUUUUGACCUUCAAGGACCUUCCCACCCCAACCAUCCCCUCUUUGACCUUCAAGGACCCUCCCAACCCACCAUUCCCUCUUUAACCUUCAAGGACCCUUUCUAUCCAACCAUCCCAUGCUUCCACGAUCUUCAAGGACCCUCCCAACCCACCAUUCUCUCUUUAACCUUCAAGGACCCUUUCUAUCCAACCAUCCCAUGCUUCCACGACCUCCAGGGCCCUCCCAACCCACCCAUUCCCUCUUUAAUCUUCAAAGACCCUUCCAACCCAACCCCCCCCCACCACCACCCCAUCUACCGAUGGCCGUGGUUCUGGUGAUGGUGGUGGUGCCAUUUUGGGGGGGGGUCCCGUUACCCACCGCUGUGCUGCAGCUGCCCGUUGUCCCGGGGGUCCCAGCGCUCCUCCUUGCGCCGCGCGCCGCUGACGAUGACGUAAUCGCAGCCUGCGGGGUCCGUCUGCAGCUCAAUGUGGUUCACACAC
rnacentral:lncRNA from 1 species